rnacentral:lncRNA from 1 species
GGUACUCGCCUGGGAAGAACUGGUGUGGCCAACAGAGAAAGACAUUCUGGUUGUUUUAAUGUGGUUCAUGUGAAACAUACCAAUGGCAACAGCUUUGCCACCUGGCUUUCCAACAUUUUUGUUAUUAGCAAAGGCAACAAACCAUGGAUUUCUCUUCCUCAGGGAAAAGGUAUCCACUUCACCAUUGCUGAAGAGAAAGACGAGAGAAUGAUGGCCAAACCCAGCAGUGGGUGA